AAUGAUGCAAUGUUGAGGGGCAGCACACUCUUGUGCAGGCUCCCUUGUCCAACACCUCACAGGGAGUUGUCAUAUACCUGCGACUGAGACUUUUCUUUAAUCUAGUCUACAGGCUUCUGGGGACAUUGUCUGUUCAAGAGUAAAGCGAUUUGUUUAUGGAAGAAAAGAAAACGAGUCAGAUCUGUUCAUCAGAAAAGACAAAAAAGAAGAAUUAGCUUACCUGAUGGAGUAAGGGUGAUGAAUACAUCAGUCACUGAAAGGAGGUAGAGCGGCUGCCCUUUCUCUUGCUGCCUACUGUUUCUAACCCAUCCCCCCCUCCUGAAGCACAUUCUGAUCUCUCCUCCCUGCUUUUUCUAUACCUUCAGACUGAUGGUUGAAGGGAAAAGACAAAUGGAGUUUGUUCAACCAAUAACUUUAACUUUAUAUACAACUCAAACCCAUAGACGUUUGGAUGAGAUCUCUCAAGGAUUUCCCUGUAGAAUGAAGAGCACAAGUUAACCUUUAACAACCAUCAGAAACUCUUGGGAGAAGUUAACAACAAAAACAAAAAGUCCUCAUGCUUGUGUCCUGCUCCCCAUUCUGGAGACACCAUGCUGUGAGGAGCUCUCUGGAUAACUCUGCCCCCUGCCGGAAAGCACUCUAUUAUGUUGUGAUUUGGGGGGAGUUCUGGACAAAUGAACCUGUGUGACCCUGACCUAACUAAAAGAGAACAAAGAAAUAGACUGUACUGGAACCCUGGCUG
rnacentral:lncRNA from 1 species